CAGCCGCCACGGGAAUACGAAGGGGGCUAGCGUUGUUCGGAAUCACUGGGCGUAAAGGGUGCGUAGGCGGAUUCUUAAGUCAGGGGUGAAAUCCCGAGGCUCAACCUCGGAACUGCCUUUGAUACUGGGGAUCUUGAGUCCGGAAGAGGUGAGUGGAACUGCGAGUGUAGAGGUGAAAUUCGUAGAUAUUCGCAAGAACACCGGUGGCGAAGGCGGCUCACUGGUCCGGAACUGACGCUGAGGCACGACAGCGUGGGGAGCAAACAGGAUUAGAUACCCCCGUAGUCCCUGUCUCUUAUAC
rnacentral:rRNA from 1 species